rnacentral:rRNA from 1 species
UACGUAGGGUGCAAGCGUUAAUCGGAAUUACUGGGCGUAAAGCGUGCGCAGGCGGUUUUGUAAGUCAGAUGUGAAAUCCCCGGGCUUAACCUGGGAACUGCGUUUGAAACUACAAGGCUAGAGUGUGGCAGAGGGGGGUGGAAUUCCACGUGUAGCAGUGAAAUGCGUAGAGAUGUGGAGGAACACCGAUGGCGAAGGCAGCCCCCUGGGUUAACACUGACGCUCAGGCACGAAAGCGUGGGGAGCAAACAG